ACACGUAGGGAGCAAGCGUUGUCCGGAUUUAUUGGGCGUAAAGAGCUCGUAGGCGGUUUUGUAAGUCGGAUGUGAAAACUCAGGGCUCAACCCUGAGACGCCAUCCGAUACUGCAAUGACUAGAGUCCGGUAGGGGAGCAUGGAAUUCCUGGUGUAGCGGUGGAAUGCGCAGAUAUCAGGAGGAACACCAGUGGCGAAGGCGGUGCUCUGGGCCGGUACUGACGCUGAGGAGCGAAAGCAUGGGGAGCAAACAGGAUUAGAUACCCUAGUAGUCC
rnacentral:rRNA from 1 species